rnacentral:rRNA from 1 species
UACGGAGGGUGCUAGCGUUGUUCGGAAUUACUGGGCGUAAAGCGCACGUAGGCGGCUUUGUAAGUUAGAGGUGAAAGCCCGGGGCUCAACUCCGGAACUGCCUUUAAGACUGCAUCGCUUGAAUCCAGGAGAGGUGAGUGGAAUUCCGAGUGUAGAGGUGAAAUUCGUAGAUAUUCGGAAGAACACCAGUGGCGAAGGCGGCUCACUGGACUGGUAUUGACGCUGAGGUGCGAAGGCGUGGGGAGCAAACAGG